rnacentral:rRNA from 1 species
UACAGAGGUCCCGAGCGUUGUUCGGAUUUACUGGGCGUAAAGGGCGCGUAGGCGGCAAUUCAAGUCACUUGUGAAAUCUCCGGGCUUAACUCGGAACGGUCAAGUGAUACUGCUUUGCUAGAGUGCGGAAGGGGCAAUCGGAAUUCUCGGUGUAGCGGUGAAAUGCGUAGAUAUCGAGAGGAACACCUGAGGUGAAGACGGGUUGCUGGGCCGACACUGACGCUGACAGCGCGAAAGCCAGGGGAGCAAACGGG